GAUAAACGCUGGCGGCGCACAUAAGACAUGCAAGUCGAACGGACUUAACCAUUAGUUUACUAUUGGAGCGGUUAGUGGCGGACUGGUGAGUAACACGUAAGCAACCUGCCUAUCAGAGGGGAACAACAGUUAGAAAUGACUGCUAAUACCGCAUAUACCUAAGUAUCGCAUGGUACAAUAGAAAAGGAGCAAUCCGCUGAUAGAUGAGCUUGCGUCUGAUUAGUUAGUUGGUGAGGUAACGGCCCACCAAGACGAUGAUCAGUAGCCGGACUGAGAGGUUGAACGGCCACAUUGGGACUGAGAUACGGCCCAG
rnacentral:rRNA from 1 species